rnacentral:lncRNA from 1 species
CCCUGACCUGCUGGUCCUCCUGCCUCCAUCUCUCAAGUGCCGGGGUUACAGGCUACAUAUUGUAGCCUCCCCCAGCCUGAAGUGAGCUGGUGCAGACCUUGUUGCCACUGAGGUGGGGCCACCUGUGGUGCAGCUUUCCGACUUGGCUGGCUUCUUUUGAAGUGACAACUGUCUUCCUGAGACAUUCCUGAAUAAGCAACAGCCUGGCGACCAAGUGCUGACAGCAUGGCGACAAAGCACCAAGGAUGGACUGGUGUGAUGGGCUUUCCCCCUUUAUAAGCAGAGUCUCUUAGUAAACUCUUGGGCCUUGAUCAGAGAAAAAAUUGUCUUGGCCUCAUUAUUUCUCUCACCGUCUAGUCUCUCUCUUUCAGCCCCAGCCUGCCUUCCAGGGAUACCCGGUUCAUGUAGGCCGAGGGCCGGCUUACUACUACAACAUAUAGUCCAAGCUGGUUACUCAUUAUGUAGCCAAGGCUGACCCUGAACUCCUGACCCUGCUUUUGCCUCCUGGGGUGGAAUUACAUGUACGCAUAUCACAUCUGAUUUAUGUGGUGAUACAAGCACUCUAGCAACCUAGUGAUAUCCCUAGUCCCCAGCACAAAUUUUUAAGAGUUUUGCUCAUGUAAUGAAUGACAGAUGUCUGAAGG